rnacentral:rRNA from 1 species
GGUUAAGCGACUAAGCGUACACGGUGGAUGCCCUGGCAGUCAGAGGCGAUGAAGGACGUGCUAAUCUGCGAAAAGCGUCGGUAAGGUGAUAUGAACCGUUACAGCCGGCGAUGUCCGAAUGGGGAAACCCAGUGUGAUUCGUCACACUAUCGUUAACUGAAUACAUAGGUUAACGAGGCGAACCGGGGGAACUGAAACAUCUAAGUACCCCGAGGAAAAGAAAUCAACCGAGAUUCCCCCAGUAGCGGCGAGCGAACGGGGAGCAGCCCAGAGUCUGAAUCAGCUUGUGUGUUAGUGGAACGGUCUGGAAAGUCCGACGGUACAGGGUGAUAGUCCCGUACACCAAAAUGCACAGGUUGUGAACUCGAAGAGUAGGGCGGGACACGUGGUAUCCUGUCUGAAUAUGGGGGGACCAUCCUCCAAGGCUAAAUACU